GAGUUUGAUCAUGGCUCAGAACGUACGCUGGCGGCACGCCUAACACAUGCAAGUCGAACGAAGUAGCAAUACUUAGUGGCAGACGGGUGAGUAACAUGUAGGUAUCUGCCCUUUGGCCUGGAAUAACACGAGGAAACUUGUGCUAAUACCGGAUAAGUCUUUACGGAGAAAGCUUUAUGCACCAUUGGAUGAGCCUGCACUUGAUUAGUUUGUUGGUGGGGUAAUGGCCUACCAAGACUGUGAUCAAUAGCUGAUUUGAGAGGAUGAUCAGCCACAUUGGGACUGAGACACGGCCCAAACUCCUACGGGAGGCAGCAGUGGGGAAUCUUGCACAAUGGAGGAAACUCUGAUGCAGCGAUGCCGCGUGAGUGAAGAAGGCCCUUGGGUUGUAAAGCUCUUUCGUCGGGGAAGAAAAUGACUGUACCCGAAUAAGAAGGUCCGGCUAACUUCGUGCCAGCAGCCGCGGUAAUACGAAGGGACCUAGCGUAGUUCGGAAUUACUGGGCUUAAAGAGUUCGUAGGUGGUUGAAAAAGUUAGUGGUGAAAUCCCAGAGCUUAACUCUGGAACUGCCAUUAAAACUUUUCAGCUAGAGUAUGAUAGAGGAAAGCAGAAUUUCUAGUGUAGAGGUGAAAUUCGUAGAUAUUAGAAAGAAUACCGAUUGCGAAGGCAGCUUUCUGGAUCAUUACUGACACUGAGGAACGAAAGCAUGGGUAGCGAAGAGGAUUAGAUACCCUCGUAGUCCAUGCCGUAAACGAUGUGUGUUAGACGUUGGAAAUUUAUUUUCAGUGUCGCAGGGAAACCGAUAAACACACCGCCUGGGGAGUACGACCGCAAGGUUAAAACUCAAAUGAAUUGACGGGGACCCGCACAAGUAGUGGAGCAUGUGGUUUAAUUCGAAGAUACGCGCAGAACCUUACCAACACUUGACAUGUUCGUCGCGACUCUAAGAGAUUAGAGUUUUCGGUUCGGCCGGACGAAACACAGGUGCUGCAUGGCUGUCGUCAGCUCGUGUCGUGAGAUGUUGGGUUAAGUCCCGCAACGAGCGCAACCCUCACUUUUAGUUGCCAUCAUUAAGUUGGGCACUCUGAAAGAACUGCCAGUGAUAAGCUGGAGGAAGGUGGGGAUGACGUCAAGUCCUCAUGGCCCUUACGUGUUGGGCCACACACGUGCUACAAUGGUAUCUACAACAGGAAGCAAGACUGCGAAGUUAAGCAAAUCCCUAAAAGAUACCUCAGUUCGGAUUGCACUCUGCAACUCGAGUGCAUGAAGCUGGAAUUACUAGUAAUCGUGGAUCAGCGUGCCACGGUGAAUGCGUUCCCGGGUCUUGUACACACCGCCCGUCACACCAUGGGAGUUGGUUCUACCUUAAGGCAAGGCUUUAAACCCUUGACCACGGUAUAGUCAGCGACUGGGGUGAAGUCGUAACAAGGUAACC
rnacentral:rRNA from 1 species